rnacentral:rRNA from 1 species
AGCCGGCCUGAGAGGGCGACCGGCCACACUGGGACUGAGACACGGCCCAGACUCCUACGGGAGGCAGCAGUGGGGAAUCUUGCACAAUGGGCGGAAGCCUGAUGCAGCGACGCCGCGUGAGGGAUGACGGCCUUCGGGUUGUAAACCUCUUUCAGCAGGGACGAAGCGUUUGUGACGGUACCUGCAGAAGAAGCGCCGGCCAACUACGUGCCAGCAGCCGCGGUAAGACGUAGGGCGCAAGCGUUGUCCGGAUUUAUUGGGCGUAAAGAGCUCGUAGGCGGCUUGUCGCGUCGACUGUGAAAACCCGUGGCUCAACUGCGGGCUUGCAGUCGAUACGGGCAGGCUAGAGUUCGGUAGGGGAGACUGGAAUUCCUGGUGUAGCGGUGAAAUGCGCAGAUAUCAGGAGGAACACCGGUGGCGAAGGCGGGUCUCUGGGCCGAUACUGACGCUGAGGAGCGAAAGCGUGGGGAGCGAACAGGAUUAGAUACCCUGGUAGUCCACGCUGUAAACGUUGGGCGCUAGGUGUGGGGGGCCUCUCCGGUUCUCUGUGCCGCAGCUAACGCAUUAAGCGCCCCGCCGGGGGAAGUACGGGG